UUCUGUGACAGCUUGAGAGAGUUAAUGCAAUCUAUAAUAGUUUCACUGAUUUGUAUUUCUCCAUGUCUGAAUGUUAUGUGGUACUUCAAGAAUAACUAAUAAAGCCCAAGAUAUACCUUAUUCAGUACAAUUUCCUUUAUUCUUUUUUUAAAAAAUAAAUACUAAGUUAUCAUGAUACUGUGUUAUGAGCAUGUGUGGCCUUUAUCCCAUUGUGUCCCAGUGCUUAUAAACUGGAUAAUAGCUGGAUUUCCAGAACGUUAAGAAUAUAAAUUCUGUUGUAAAUCACUGAGGUUUGUGCUCCCAGUAUAUUUAGGCACUGAAAAGAAACCCCCAAAAACGCCGGUGCUUUAAUAAUUAUUUCUGCCAUGACAUAUGAAAAUAAUAUUUACUAGCUUACCCUCUGUGCUCUUCUCCAUUUCUCAAAUCUGUGAUACAGAAUUGUCAGAGUCUCACUGAUUUCCCUCUCAAGUUGCAGUUAUCACAUGGGCCAUACAUGUUUUCUGUCUUCACUUUUGCAGCCUUAAGAUGUUCCACUCACAGAAGGAAAAAGUUUAAAUCCUCACGUGUAAAGUAAUUCUGCCAGAGAGAAGUAAAGGAAACCACAUUUUAUGCCAGAAAAAAAACAGCAACAGAAGAUCAUGUAGUGCUGACAAUCCUAGCCAGGCCAAGAUUGGCUUUGGCACUUGGUGGUUGUUUAAUACAGCAAGCUCUUUAUUGAAAUUUUAUUAGCCAAUAAUGAAUUCAUAGAUUUACAGGGCCU
rnacentral:lncRNA from 1 species